rnacentral:siRNA from 1 species
UUUCACUGUGCAGGAUUAGAUA